CCAUGCUGUGGUAGGCAUCCCACAUAUAAAGUAAAGGAAGAUAGGCACAGAUGAACCUGUGGGGCCAGUCUUCCUCAGCAAAAAGAGGAGGAUUGGCAGCAGUUAGCUCAGGGCUAAUCUUCCUCAAAAAAAACAAAAAAAUUAAAAAGAGCAGAGACAAGUAAUAAAAGAGGGUAGCAGGAAGAGAUUAAUUUUAUCAGAGAAACUGAAUAACAAUAGCUGACAUCUGUUGAGUGCGCAUUUUGUGUCAGGUUCUGUGCUAAGUGCCUUCUUUAUAAAUUGACUCUUUCCAGCAAUCCUACGAGGUGGGUAAUGUGAUAACGUUAUUAUCCUCAUCCAUUUUGCACAGAGUUAAUAAGUAGCAGAAGAGUCUAGAUUCAAACCCAGGUCUCACUCCAAAACGCAAGCUCUUGGCUUCCUAGUAGCCAAGGCAAAAAUGAAACGGUUCUGUUGAUGCCCAAUAAGUUAUCUCCCUGCCCAUCCUCAUGAUAGCUCAUCAGGAGAGGGAAACUUUUUCUGACCUUGAGCUCCACAAAGAAUUUGCCCUGUAGCUUCAUACAAGGACCACUGAUACAACGUGAUGGAUAACGUCCCCAAGAUAAAUGUUACCCAAAUUGAGGAAGCAUUCCAUAUCAUAAGGGAGGGCAUAAUGUUAGGUUUUAAAUUAUUAAGUGCAGUUCAGUUGGGAUCUGCAGUAUGGACUCAGCUAUGUAACUUUUUCUCAAACUGGUUUGAAAAAGCCAGGAGGAACUCAGACAAUAGAUAGUGAACUAGGUCUUGGCCCCUCAAUGAACACCCUCACCCCAUCUUGCGUAUCUGGCUCUGCCCCUAAACUCAGAAAUUCCAUUUCAUUUCCCUGUACUGGGUGCACAGUGUCCUAGUCCAGACUGGAGCUGGGCCUAGGUCAUUGUUGGAAGAAAGCAAUGCAAGAGCUGGUAUCUGAUGGUCAGUAUGUCAGAACAGGAUAGCAGAGUUACCAGAGUAUGAAUGAGAAAGUAUGAGAGGGAAAGUAUGACUGAGUCAGAGAUGUCCAGGGCCAACCUCCUCCCACCUGGGACCUGCUCUGCUGGGAAGAGAGAAUCUCAGGGUUGAAAAGUCAGCAGCUCCCACGUGGACAGGGUGAGAUCCCCAACAUGAGAGGGAAAGAUCUGGAAGGGACCCCUCUUCCAGUGUCUCAACCGGAGCUACGCCUGGGGCUCACACCUCCCUCUCCAGUCCUGCCCCCCAUUUCGGCAGAAAAUCAUCCUACAGCAUUUUAAGAUUCCCAAACCAUUGUGCUUCACUAAAACCUCUUCUGUACUGAUUUUUUAAACUAUAUGCAUGUAUUAUCUUGAUUUUUUAAAAUAAACAAUAAAAUGAUAAGCAAAACAAUGGAACGGGGAUCUGCCAAAAUGUUCAGCAACCCAUCACACUGACACCGGUCCUUCUUAGUUCCCUAUAACAAGAGCCUAGAGCCAUGAGUGUCCCUAGAAUGGCCACUGCGAGGCUGACACAAGCCGCUCGUUCAGAUCAGGCAACACUGACAUGUCUACUCUACUCAAAGAGAUGAGUAUUCUGAACCCAGUAGAAACCAGAAUUUCAUGUAUCAGUGUGAAAAGAGAGGAGGAAAAGGGUGCACAAAAACACAGGAGUGAUGGGAAAUUUUUAAAUUAUACCUCACCUUUCCCCCUUAAAGUUGGAAUUACAGAAGUACUUUUGCAAAAUUGAAGGUGAGCACCAAUACUCAUUUUUUCUUAUUAUUAUAAAAGCACUGCCUACUUAGUUAUUUCUGUCCAAAUUUUAAAUGCAUAUGUCCUUUGACCCCGUAUGACUCAUACAGUUCACCUACCUACCCAAAAAGCAUUCUCUCCUUGUUUCUUGCUAAUAGAAUCUUGAUUGUUAUAUCCCAGUGGGCACCUCCCUCAACCUCAGGGAUGAAGCGUGAUUCAUCUAAGACAGUCAUGUUUUCCCAUUCCC
ensembl:lncRNA